GCAUCGCCCGUCAGUAAUGGCGGGCGUGGAUUGAAAC
rfam:Pseudorhodoferax sp. Leaf274 contig_5, whole genome shotgun sequence.